rnacentral:rRNA from 1 species
AGUAAUGUAUGGGGAUCUGCCUGAUGGCGGGGGAUAACUACUGGAAACGGUAGCUAAUACCGCAUAAUGUCUACGGACCAAAGCGGGGGACCUCCGGGCCUCGCGCCAUCAGAUGAACCCAUAUGGGAUUAGCUAGUAGGUGGGGUAAUGGCUCACCUAGGCGACGAUCCCUAGCUGGUCUGAGAGGAUGACCAGCCACACUGGAACUGAGACACGGUCCAG